rnacentral:rRNA from 1 species
AUUGAACGCUGGCGGCAGGCCUAACACAUGCAAGUCGAACGAGUGGCGGACGGGUGAGUAAUGUCUGGGAAACUGCCUGAUGGAGGGGGCUAACUACUGGAAACGGUAGCUAAUACCGCAUACCAUCAGAUGUGCCCAGAUGGGAUUAGCUGGUUGGUGGGGUAACGGCUCACCUAGGCGACGAUCCCUAGCUGGUCUGAGAGGAUGACAAGCCACACUGGAACUGAGACACGGGCCAGACUCCUACGGGAGGCAGCAGUGGGGAAUAUUGCACAAUGGGCGCAAGCCUGAUGCAGCCAUGCCGCGUGUAUGAAGAAGGCCUUCGGGUUGUAAAGUACUUUCAGCGAGGAGGCGUUACUCGCAGAAGAAGCACCGGCUAACUCCGUGCCAGCAGCCGCGGUAAUUC